AUACGUAGGGGGCAAGCGUUGUCCGGAAUUAUUGGGCGUAAAGCGCGCGCAGGCGGUUUCUUAUGUCUGGUGUGAAAGCCCGCAGCUCAACUGCGGAGGGCCACUGGAAACUGGGAGACUUGAGUGUAGGAGAGGAGAGCGGAAUUCCACGUGUAGCGGUGAAAUGCGUAGAUAUGUGGAGGAACACCCGUGGCGAAAGCGGCUCUCUGGCCUAUAACUGACGCUGAGGCGCGAAAGCGUGGGGAGCAAACAGGAUUAGAUACCCUGGUAGUCCAUGCCGUAAACGAUGAUUACUAGGUGUGGGGAGUCUGACCCUCUCCGUGCCGGAGUUAACACAAUAAGUAAUCCACCUGGGAAGUACGACCGCAAGGUUAAA
rnacentral:rRNA from 1 species